CUUUCUUAUUUCUCGUUGCUCAAUAUGCUCUUUGCUUACUUUCCGAUGUACAGUUCGUACCCGAAAUGCUUGUCGAUCUAUUAUUAUUACAAUUAUUGGGUUAAAUCUUGGUUCAAUUCUUCUGUGGGUUCCUUUAUUUUCGAGGUCUGAUUGCUAAUCUUUCGCUAUUAAGAGUCAUUGUUAUUGGGGGGAACGAGUGUGUGCUUUUGAAAAGGAGGGUCUCUAAUAUAUAAGAGAUUGUAUAUUUUGUAUUAGGUGGUAUUUGGUAGAUCUUUGGUAUUUUGCGCUUGACUGUUGUUUUCUGCAUUUUGGCUAUGGAUGGAUUAUGUGCUUAGGGUCGUGAAAUCCGAGGAACAACCCCGUGCACUCUUUCUUUGUCUAACUAGUUUGAUUACUAGUGAGUUUUUGUUCUGAUUGUUCAAAUUGUUUGAAAGUUGGCCUAGUUUGAGGUUUGAUGGUAGGACGAUCUAGGAAUUGAUUUUUUAUUUCCUUCUUGUGACAAUUAAGGCAAUUUUCUAUUUCCAGGUACCGCAGAGAAACCUCCUCAUAAUGUAGUACUGUAGUUUAUGUUUAACCAGUGGAUUUUAAUUAUAUUAUACUGCUCCUUUUAACAGGAGACUAAUACUAUUUUCUGAUAUUGGUUGGAGUUUUUUCCUAUUCAUGUACUGCUAUAAUCACAGGACAACAUUAGAAUUUUGGAAACUGGUGGUGCUGGACUAUCGGCUCUCACCUUAGUUGACUAAUCGAUGGAAAGUGAGAAGAAUGAUGACAUUUUAUGCUUCCUAGCUAUGCUGAUGCUGAAAGCAUGAGGAAACCUGGCUGAUAUACACCUCAGUCGGACACAAAGAGUCAUGUCUCAGGAGUCGGAUAAAUAGUCGAGAAGAUCUACACGUGUUUUGUUAAAGGGGAAGGGUGAAUUGAAGCUCAUGGAUGCAGAGCAACUUGGAAAGUAUGGUCACAAGAUGGAGAAUUUCAUUGCUGCCCUGAUUAUUAUAA